rnacentral:rRNA from 1 species
UACAGAGGGGGCAAGCGUUAAUCGGAAUUACUGGGCGUAAAGCGCACGUAGGCGGCUUUGUAAGUUAGAGGUGAAAGCCCGGGGCUCAACUCUGGAACUGCCUUUGAUACUGGAUGUCUUGAGUGUGAGAGAGGUAUGUGGAACUCCGAGUGUAGAGGUGAAAUUCGUAGAUAUUCGGAAGAACACCAGUGGCGAAGGCGACUGACUGGACAUGUAUUGACGCUGAGGUGCGAAAGCGUGGGGAGCAAACAGG